rnacentral:rRNA from 1 species
UACGUAGGGUGCAAGCGUUGUCCGGAAUUAUUGGGCGUAAAGAGCUCGUAGGCGGUUUGUCGCGUCUGCUGUGAAAACCCGAGGCUCAACCUCGGGCCUGCAGUGGGUACGGGCAGACUAGAGUGCGGUAGGGGAGAUUGGAAUUCCUGGUGUAGCGGUGGAAUGCGCAGAUAUCAGGAGGAACACCGGUGGCGAAGGCGGGUCUCUGGGCCGAUGACUGACGCUGGAGGAGCGAAAGCGUGGGGAGCGAACAGG